AGGGUUGCCUCUGCGUGGGCAGUGCGGCAGGGCAGCGCAGAUGGAUCCGGGCUGCGCUAUCUCCAGCGGGAUUCUAGGGCGUCCACGGUCUCGACCAAGCCCGGGAACAAGGGACUUCCCGUGGCUUCUGUCAACUCGAACUCCGACCCGUGGUUUAAAAUAGACUUGGGCAAGCAGUUCUGGUCAAAUCAAUGUAUUUAGUAGCCGGCGGGUUUUAGUUUUGUGUUCACUUUGGGCCGCCCUGUGUCACUAAUUCCUUCCUCAUUGGCCUUUUGACGGUUUUGCUUGGGCUUUUUAUUUUUAUUUACUUGUUUGUUAUUUUUUAAGAGACUGGGUUUCUCUGUGUAGCCCUGGCUGCCCUGGAGCUAGCUGGCUUCCAACUCUAAGAUCCGCCUGCUUCUGCCCCCCCGAGUGGAUCAAAAGAUGUGAGCCAUCGCCGCCCGGCUCGUUUGACUUUCAAAUUGGCCAAAAGUCAAUGUUUUAUUGAGGUCAAAUCAAACGUACCUGCAUCGAAACUUACCGUGAGGCAUUUUAUCAAAUUCAGAUCCAUACAGUUGGGACCUCAAGGGACAGUGGAUCCCUUUCUCCAUCCACUGUUGGAGUUUCUUUCACAGGUUUAGAGCUUUGUGUAAAGAGAGAAACAAAAAACGUAGCCUUAAGUCACUUAACCACAGCCUGAUAUUGUUAUUUGAGAUAGACUUUCACAUCAUAGCCUAAUUUAGCCUGGAACUCGAUUCAGCCUCCUGAGUUCUGGAAUUAUAGACACCCCACCUAGCUUCAUAACAUGGCAUUUCUGUUUUUGUGAGAAAGGCUCUUAUGUAUACCAGGAUGUUCCAGAACUCAUACCUGCCCUCUGCAGGCUAACGUAGUGGCCAAAUGCAGGGGACAGGAAGCUUACUAAGAACAUAAGUGGCAAAUUCCUUAAUUGCAGCACUGGGGAGGCAGACAGGUCUCUGACUUCCAGGCCAGCCUGGUCUACAGAGUGAGUGCCAGGCCAACCUGGGCUAUACAAAGAAAUCCUACCUUUACAAACAAAAGAACAAAAUCUAAGCCAGAUAUAAUGGCUCAACCUUCCACCUCCUAUAAACUUAAACACAUACACAUAACCAUGUGAAGCCCAGGGCAUAAGAAAAUGGUGGCUGGAACCUCCGGUAAGGGUUCUGUGAUUCUACUUUUAUCAUGAGGAUGUGUUAAUGGCCUCACCACCACUACCACACAUCUAGCCAUUGUUGGGCUGCUUUGCUUAUUUUUUUUUUUUUCUGGCUGAGGGCAGCCAUGGUGACUGUGCCUCUCAGUGGUGAUGAUCAUGUCAUGCUCAGAUGACACUACAACAUAAAUAACAGAAAAGUAGUCAAGGCCUUGAGCUCAGACCCUCGAUGUGGCCCAGCAUGGUCCAAACGGUUCCUUGGCUCCCAGGGAAGGUAGCAGGGAGGAAACAGCUAGACCUACACAAGCUAGGUGUGUUGAAGUACAUUUUGUACAUGUGAGCUUGUGAAGGUAUGUAUGUACUUGUUCAUACAUAUGUAAAUGCAUGCCUGCGUGUAUAUGCACUUGGUGUGUAGGUCAGUAUUACAUGUGUGUGGUGUGUGGGCGCUGUAAGUCUAAUAUCUCAUUACCAGGCUCAUAGGACUCUGGUUCACCACACUUCAUCUAUAUAGAGAUAAUAGUUAUGGCUUGUGCUGAGGGCAGAUGCUUCUUCAGGACCAUUGUGUAAAACAGGCCAUGCUAUCUAUGUAUACAUUGCACAGCUACCCAAGACACAACCUAGGGCGUGGGACUAACAUUUCAGGGUUCUGUGGCAGACAGAAGUGCAGAUCUGGGCUUCUCUCCCACCCAUAGCCUUCAGGUCAAGCUGGCUGAAACGCUGCUUGGCAGGUAAGAGCAAGCAGACCGGACCUAUAGCUCAUCUGGAAGCAUCUUGGCCAGCGUAGUUUGUGGUUCUCAGCCUUUACUCACCUUGAUUAAGACAUCUCAGCUGGGCAGUGAUGGCACACGCCUUUAAUCCCAGCACUUGGGAGGCAGAAGGAGGCAGAUUUCAAAGCCAGCCUGGUCUACAAAGUGAGUUCCAGGACAGCCAGGGCUAUACAGAGAAACCCUGUCUCGAAAAAAAAAAAGGGGGGUGGGGGAACCUCAAUUGUAAAAAUGCCUCUGGAGCAGUGGUUGAGACCUUCCUAAUGCUGUGACCCUUUAAUACAGUUCCUCAUGUUGUGGUGACCCCCCCAACCAUGAAAUUACUUUUUUGCUACUUCAUAACUAAUUUUGCUACUGUUAAAAAUUGUAAUGUAGUGCUGGCAAGAUGGCUCAGCAGUUAAAAGCAUGGACUGCUCCUCCAGAGGUCCUGAGUUCAAUUCCCAGCAACCACAUGGUGGCUCACAACCAUCUGUAAUGAGAUUGGGUGCCCUCUUUUGGUGUGUUUGAAGAUAGCUACAGUGGACAGUGUAUUUAUUUAAUAAUAAAUAAAUACAUAAAUAAAUAAAU
rnacentral:lncRNA from 1 species